CAUCAAUUUUACAACAUGUGGACUGGGGGCACAGAGAGGAGCAAAUCAAAUAUUAAUCGGCACACCUCUGCAUCCUGCCGCUCUUUAUGAAUGACCCCGCCCCUUCCGUGUGCUGUGCCGUGUAUCUCAGUGACAACCACUCCUCAAUCACAAUUCCUGCUUCCUGAAAGGGUGUCUACCUGGAACAGGAGAGAUAUACUGAGAUGUAGGUGUAAUGGGCCGUAGUGUGUCAUGAGGUCAGAGGUCAGAGCUGGGGACUAUCACUGUGCAAUGUCUCUUACAACAUAGAUAAAAUCCACAAGAGGGCGUGUUUUUACAUGUACAUCCUAUUUAAAUAAACCCUAUAUAAUAAUCUAUUUAUUAUUAUAUAUACGUUAAAAAAAUUAUCUUAGUUGCUAAUAUGUUGAAUUUAUGAGUUAUCAAAAAUUGCCGACUCCUGCUGAAAUUUUAAAUUCAAUUAAAGUAAUGUUAUUAAUGAGACUGGUGAUAUUAUUUCCCCUGUAAGGAAUUAGGUCUGAUUUACAUCUAUCAUACAGAAGAUGACCCAGGACGACCCCGCCUCGACGUCGCAUGCGUGACGCUCGGCGUGACAUGCGCACAGCGGACGUCCGUGCGUCCAGACGACGCUGGAUGUGGCAGGUUUACGCGGACGCGAUCGAAAGCAGUGUCCGGUCCCUGCUGCAAUAACCGCACGUUUGUGUUAUAUUGGUUAUAUAUUUUUAUAUAUAUAUAUAUAUAUAUUUUUUUUUUUUGCACGCGUGCAUGGAGGUUCGUCCCGCGGUCGCGCGCGUUCGCGGUAAAAACGGGAUGCUUUAACGGGCGCCGCCGCCCUGUGAUGGAGGGAGGGAGAGACUCGAGAGACUCGACUCUCAGCACCGCACCCGGUAACCACGUCGUCCUAUUACUGCGAAGCCCCACGGUUUUUUUUUUUUUUGCAUUGUGCGGUCACAGUGACGCUCAUAGAUUCAUGCAUUGUUGCAGCCCACCUCAGUGCAGUCAGCCACUGAGUGGAUGGAGAUGGAGGGACACGCGGUCAGUCCGGUACAGACGCAGGAAUGGUCGUGGGUGUGUCCCAGCAGCCGUCAGACUGGGGUCCCACCAACAUAUCAGUGCUCAUAUCAGACCGAGCAGUCUGGGCCUGCGAACACGGGACCCGGACCUCCUGACAGCCUUCCCACUCCAGGUCCUGCGGGCUUCCAGGGACCGCCGCAGCGGCACCCGUCCUCUCGGCCGUGGAACGGUGUGCUGUCUGCUGAAAGUGUCUCCAAACAGGUCCAGUCGCCCGUGGAGGGCGGCUCACCCCCAGUGA
ensembl:lncRNA